ensembl:lncRNA
AACGAGAAGUCUCUUAAAUUUACACACGCUUCGUCGAAGAGUAUACUAAAAGGCAUGAAGUGAAUGCCAAAGAUCAAAAACAGGUUGGCGGAGAUUAUUGGAGAUCAAUUUAGGAUAACGGUUCCACAAUCCUAAAAUCAGCAUGAGGGCAUGUUGUGAAAGAAAGUACUCACAGAGGUCCAGCACAUGGCAGAGUCGAGAUCCAUUUCAAAAUUGUGAUUUGCCAUAUUUAUGUAUUUGUGGAUCUAUGGCUAUCUAACUCAGAAUGAUAAUGACACGGCAGGAGUGGCUAUUGGAGUGGAAUUGUGCGGUUUGACAAACAGGCCGCUAAAGAGAGAGGCCAACGGUGAGAUAUGCCAAAUACCAACCGAGAGGAGAUGUUGGAGGACUCCAUCCACUCAAACAUGGAGAUAGAUGGCUACCCGGGUAUGUAUUUGUCUCCAGCCGGGUCCCAGCACAGCAUCUGUUCUUACAGUAGCACCAGCACAUCCCGACGGGAACACAGCUGUUGCACCAGUUCAGCUGCUUUAAAGAUCCUUCUGACCACAGCACUUGGCCAAUCACAAUGCUUUAAACUACGGGCCACUCCAGUUCCCUAUUAACAUUUAUCUUCCCGCCCUGUAUUUCCAGAACAUCACAAUGAAAAGACAUAUCAAAAUUACAUUAAAAAGGUCACAUCUUAAACAUCUUAUUCUUUACAGUGUAAAGAAGUUACAUAUCAAACAUUAGAGUUAUAGCCUUUUUGAGGUCUCUGAUUAAAAUCUGGUCAUCACCUUUCGUUAAUUAACCUGAUCUUGAACGGGCAUGACUUACCAAAUGUGUUCAAGAGAUGAGCCUUUAUAACCAGUAUUUAAGAGAGAUGGACAUGCAUCUGGAGUGGACUAUCACCAAGUAGGACACACACAUAUAAAGCGCUAGUACAAACAUACCGUUGUUUAGACACCUUCUUUCUCUCCAGACUGCCAUGAAUUUGUGUGGAGCUGCCUGGCCAAGCAACCUCAGGAACGUCUGCCCCUGGAUUGCCUGCUGGGCCAACCCUUGAUUGCAGUAAAGCAGACUGAUGAACCUCUGGACAUCACUGAGCUCAACGUUGCACUCCCUGGUGAAAAUGAAAUGUACCAAGUAUACUUAAUCUCAAUAUACUUAAUGUACUUACAGCACCCUUAAGUGUACUUCACACAUACUAAGUACACUUAAUUUCUAAGAUCAAGUUCACUUAAAAAGUGUGAAUAAUAUUUUGCUAGAAAUACACUUACAAAGCACACCAACCACAUAUUUCAAGAGCACUAUUAUAAAAGGUAUAAAACAAUAUUUCAAAUGCACUGAAGGAGUACUUGUCAUGUUGUCAGAUUAUAUAGAUUAAAUAUCAACAGCACCUUGAACACAAGUGUUUUUAAAGUUUUGUUUAAGCAUUAUUGAAGUGUAUGUGAAAUAUAUACUAUAUCCUAAGUGUCAUGGUACAUUGAAUUUGGUCUCUUUACAUUUCACUUUGAAUAUGUUCCUUCUAGAUCAGAAAUGUAUUUCAGGUGUUAUGAUAGAAUGAGACGAACCCAAGCGCAGACAACGGAUGUUGAAUUAAACCAGAGGUCUAUUGUAGUGAGGACGAGACCAUGGG